CUCGAGCGGCGAACGGGUGAGUAACACGUGAGUAAUCUGCCCUGCGCUCUGGGAUAGCCACCGGAAACGGUGAUUAAUACCGGGUAUGACCGCUUCACGCAUGUGAUGGUGGUGGAAAGUUUUUUCGGCGUGGGAUGUGCUCGCGGCCUAUCAGCUUGUUGGUGAGGUAAUGGCUCACCAAGGCUUUGACGGGUAACCGGCCUGAGAGGGUGACCGGUCACACUGGGACUGAGACACGGCCCAGACUCCUACGGGAGGCAGCAGUGGGGAAUAUUGGACAAUGGGCGGAAGCCUGAUCCAGCAACGCCGCGUGAGGGAUGACGGCCUUCGGGUUGUAAACCUCUUUCAGUACCGACGAAGCGUAAGUGACGGUAGGUACAGAAGAAGGACCGGCCAACUACGUGCCAGCAGUCGCGGUAAUACGUAGGGUCCGAGCGUUGUCCGGAAUUAUUGGGCGUAAAGGGCUCGUAGGCGGUUUGUCGCGUCGGGAGUGAAAACCUACAGCUUAACUGUGGGCUUGCUUCCGAUACGGGCAGACUAGAGGUAUGCAGGGGAGAAUGGAAUUCCUGGUGUAGCGGUGAAAUGCGCAGAUAUCAGGAGGAACACCGGUGGCGAAGGCGGUUCUCUGGGCAUUACCUGACGCUGAGGAGCGAAAGUGUGGGGAGCGAACAGGAUUAGAUACCCUGGUAGUCCACACCGUAAACGUUGGGCGCUAGGUGUGGGAUCCAUUCCACGG
rnacentral:rRNA from 1 species